AAAUCGUACCCCAAACCGACACAGGUGGUCAGGUAGAGAAUACCAAGGCGCUUGAGAGAACUCGGGUGAAGGAACUAGGCAAAAUGGUGCCGUAACUUCGGGAGAAGGCACGCUGAUAUGUAGGUGAAGCCCCUGCGGGUGGAGCUGAAAUCAGUCGAAGAUACCAGCUGGCUGCAACUGUUUAUUAAAAACACAGCACUGUGCAAACACGAAAGUGGACGUAUACGGUGUGACGCCUGCCCGGUGCCGGAAGGUUAAUUGAUGGGGUUAGCGGUAACGCGAAGCUCUUGAUCGAAGCCCCGGUAAACGGCGGCCGUAACUAUAACGGUCCUAAGGUAGCGAAAUUCCUUGUCGGGUAAGUUCCGACCUGCACGAAUGGCGUAAUGAUGGCCAGGCUGUCUCCACCCGAGACUCAGUGAAAUUGAACUCGCUGUGAAGAUGCAGUGUACCCGCGGCAAGACGGAAAGACCCCGUGAACCUUUACUAUAGCUUGACACUGAACACUGGUCCUUGAUGUGUAGGAUAGGUGGGAGGCUUUGAAGCGUGGACGCCAGUCUGCGUGGAGCCAACCUUGAAAUACCACCCUUUAAUGGCUGGUGUUCUAACGUAGACCCGUAAUCCGGGUUGCGGACAGUGUCUGGUGGGUAGUUUGACUGGGGCGGUCUCCUCCCAAAGAGUAACGGAGGAGCACGAAGGUUAGCUAAUCCUGGUCGGACAUCAGGAGGUUAGUGCAAUGGCAUAAGCUAGCUUGACUGCGAGAGUGACGGCUCGAGCAGGUGCGAAAGCAGGUCAUAGUGAUCCGGUGGUUCUGAAUGGAAGGGCCAUCGCUCAACGGAUAAAAGGUACUCCGGGGAUAACAGGCUGAUACCGCCCAAGAGUUCAUAUCGACGGCGGUGUUUGGCACCUCGAUGUCGGCUCAUCACAUCCUGGGGCUGAAGUAGGUCCCAAGGGUAUGGCUGUUCGCCAUUUAAAGUGGUACGCGAGCUGGGUUUAGAACGUCGUGAGACAGUUCGGUCCCUAUCUGCCGUGGGCGCUGGAGAAUUGAGGGGGGCUGCUCCUAGUACGAGAGGACCGGAGUGGACGCAUCACUGGUGUUCGGGUUGUCAUGCCAAUGGCACUGCCCGGUAGCUAAAUGCGGAAGAGAUAAGUGCUGAAAGCAUCUAAGCACGAAACUUGCCCCGAGAUGAGUUCUCCCUGAGACUUAAAGUCUCCUGAAGGAACGUUGAAGACGACGACGUUGAUAGGUCGGGUGUGUAAGCGCAGCGAUGCGUUGAGCUAACCGAUACUAAUGAACCGUGAGGCUUAACCUU
rnacentral:rRNA from 1 species